AGUGAGUGGCGGACGGGUGAGUAACACGUGGGUAACCUGCCCUAAAGUGGGGGAUAACAUUUGGAAACAGAUGCUAAUACCGCAUAAAACCUAACACCGCAUGGUGUAGGGUUGAAAGAUGGUUUCGGCUAUCACUUUAGGAUGGACCCGCGGUGCAUUAGUUAGUUGGUGAGGUAAAGGCUCACCAAGACCGUGAUGCAUAGCCGACCUGAGAGGGUAAUCGGCCACACUGGGACUGAGACACGGCCCAGACUCCUACGGGAGGCAGCAGUAGGGAAUCUUCCACAAUGGACGAAAGUCUGAUGGAGCAACGCCGCGUGAGUGAAGAAGG
rnacentral:rRNA from 1 species